GACAUGUGGAGAUCUGGCUCUGUGAAAGUGAGGAGGGCAUGUGCUGCUCCUGACACCCUGCAAGGUAGAAACAGUCACAUCCUGGAAACACAACUCCUGAGGCUGUGAUCUCAUGGCAGAACCACAUCCUCCCUGAAAGGUCCAUUCUGAGGUUGCUCAUACUAACUGUAGGAAUGUGGAGUUUGCUAUGGAUGAAGUUGUGUGUGGUAAUGAACCUCUGGAGGCCAAUUUUCUUUUAGAUGCAUGAACUGUAGAUGUCAAUACAGCCUUCUGUUUUCUGUGGCUUUUCUUCAGGACAGCUUGACUCCUUGCUAAGCUCUAUGGACCAGUGACUCCAUCAUUGCUGUGAUCACCUUCUAAAGAUGGUCAAAGCCCUGAUGGCCCAAACUGCAUCCAGACAUAUGGCACAAGGCAUCCAUAAUGUUGUUAGCACAACUGGCACAUGUGUUAAAAGCCUUAUUUUGGGACUUGAAAGACAGUGACAGUAGCCUGACCAUUAAUGGAAUGGAAAACAAAACAAGAAAACCAAGAUUAUUCUGGGACUUGCAUAUGAUCUCAAACUGAAAUUCAGAGAGGAAAAGUUAGCUUGAAGAUUAGGUCCCUGGAAACAACAAAGAAGGAAACAGAGGCCUUGUAAAGGCCACAACAUUGUCUGACCCAGGUUAAAACUCCAUGUCUGUCACGGAGAUAAAUUCAUGUGUAUGAUGGCAGAAGGCAUGCCUAGAAUCUUGGUUUGGAUGUCUUGGGGUAGAAGCUGAGGGAGUAGAAUGGAAUCCCAGGUGAGGCUUUAGCUGAUAAAGUGUAAAAGAAGCCAAGAGAGAGCAGCCAGGUCCUUGAUUCAUACAUGGCCAUGGUUUACUUAGAAUAUUUUUCUGGUGUGGGUUGCUCUGGUUGCUACUCUCUGCAUCCGCUGGUUUCCUAGAGCUGCAAAGUUGGGUUAGAUUGCUCAUGAAACUGUUCAACAUAAUUUGGGUCCAGAGAUAAUAGCCCUUUCUUCCUCUCUGCUACUAGAAAUUUCAAAGUCUUGAAAAUGUACUUUUAUUUAUGCUCUACUCUGGGUAAAGGUUGUGUAUGCGUAAAUACAUGUGUGUACACAGCUGUUUCUUCCAGAAGAAGCUAUCCCAUUAGCAGUGGGUGCCUACAAUCCUGAAUAAGUGGUGGCUUUGUUUUGGAAAUCUUGGACUGUUUUUGGUUGGACAUGAAAGAGAGGAGCCAGUAAAAGCCUUCUGGAUUGCAAAGUCAUUGUUUGAGUGUCCGGCUCUCUGAGUGGACUGCAAAGAAUAGUCAAGUACCCAGGUGUCCUGUAGUUCACCUCAGGGAAAUUUAGGUGUUUCCAUUGGCAAACCAAAAACUGAGCAUGGUGGGAGUAGAUCUGCUUAGACAAGAGACACACAGCAGUUGUGUCUUCAGUCCUCUGUCCUCACCUCAUCCCAGGAGAUGGGCAUGUAUUGCUGGUCAGUCCAGAUGCAAAGCCCAAAGCCACCCUUAGGGUGCAAGUCUCGAUCUGCUGGUGGAAAGAAAUCAGCAGAACAAUUCCCUUCAAAUGUGUGGUUGUGGAGUCAGCAAUGCUUGCAGCUUGCUACUUUUAAGAGAGAUGCCUCAUGGCCUGGUGGUUUGGGAGGUGGGGGGAGACCAGGUGUGCACCCAGCCUGACUGUGGAUUUGCCCAAGUCAACCUGUGGAGUAGAAGGGAGCAAAAGAACUACUGACCCCUGGGGAGCAAGAAAUCUUCUUCUGUGGGAAGCGGGGAAUGAUGAUGGAUAGCGGCAGUGCCAGUGACUUUUAAACGAAGACAUUCCUGGAGAAAAUACAGUGCCCCUCCCUGCUCAACACAGAAACUGCUGGGGAUGAUGUUUUUCUGUCACAGGAUGGGAGUAACCCCCUUGGAAGUCAAUUGAAUGUUUUAGCAGAAAAAUAAGGCCCAAGGCUAUUAUGUGUUUGAUAAACCUUGCACAAGAGAGAGCAGGAGGAGAGACCUGUUGGCUUAAGAAUUCCAGCACAGGAUGGGAAUAAAUUCCAUUGACCUCUGGGAGAGUAACUCCCAUCCUGACGCAGGAGAACUCAUUUUCAGGAAAAACCCACAUGCUUUAUUGAAGUGCUACACUGAUGCCCAAUGUCUUUCUAGAACAAUGAAGCACUUAAUGGUGACUUACUUAACAGUUACUCUCUCACAUGGGCUCUCUUGUAUGAAUUUAUAUUUACACUCAGUUAAGUGCAGGGAGUGAUUCUAAGUUGCAUGUAAUGAUACAAUUCUGCAUGUCUUUUUUCCCUUGACCGCAUAUAGGAUGAGCUGUAUGGAAUGACAGGAUGUUUGGAGAGAAAGAGUUUUGGACAAAAGCCCUACUACUUUUGUUUGCAAGGGGGAGAUAUUUCAUUCACUUGGGGGCACAGAAACAUGUGCUGCCUUUUUUUUUAUUUUUUUAGGCUCUGCUUUAUAUUUGCUUGUAUUGUAGUUUCAGAUUGUUCUGUUCGGUUUUUGUCUUUAUUUCGUAUGAUUUUUAGUUAAUUAUAAAUAAGAGGACAAAUAUCUGCCUAUCCCUCAGAAGGUCUGCUGUAUUUUCCAAAACAAAGAAACAGGCUGAGUCAGAGGAUGUUUUCAUUUGUGCAAAACAGGGUUUAUUGAUGCCACAGGUAAUUAUUAAUUAAGUGUUUCCAGAGCAAAAUAUGGAACAAACCUCUAGUGUUGGGAUUGGCACAUAGAAAAGUAUGAAUGUGAGUUUACAAAAAUACAGAGAAAGUUCAGACAUAUUCUGGACCAAGAACAAGUUAGAAUCUAAAAAUAUGUGGUAAAAAUUGAGUGGACUAAAUAUGAUUAUCCAUAAAUAUAGGAAUAUUUAUCAUCUAAUCUGGCAGCAUAUCAGUCAGGGGAUGUAAACUGGGUUCCACAAAAAUGUGUAGCAAUCCAAGGAUUUUUUCAGGGUAAUUGAAAAGGAAAAAUGGGUUGUGUACAAACCACAUACAUUGAAAAAAGAUAUAUAUACAAUUUUUAUAAGACAUAUGGCUAUUGAAACCCUUAAUACUAGGAUGAACUUCUUUCAACAAGGUCUUUACCGCUUCAUUCAACUGGGGAUAUUUGAGUGGCACAAAUUUUAUAAAUUUAUAAUUAUAUAAGCUUGUCAGGUGCUGUAUAAGCACCAGAAGCAAGCAGUAGUACUUAGCAAAUGGGAACUCUAACUGUCAAUGUCAAUUUAACUUUCCUUUAGCUCUUGAAAAUUUUGCUAACAGGCUGCUGAUUAAUGUGAUGUGCAUUUAAUUAUAAGUGACUAUUUCUAAUCCUUGCAACAACUAAUGUUAACUACAGUAGUGUUGACAAGGAGGGUGAUUAAUAAGCAGAGUGUGGUAGUUUGGGUGAGCUUGGCAUCAGGCUGUGGUAGUUGAAACCUGAAUUUUAUUCUGCUCUGUGAAGCUUUUAGUCUCAGGCUUGGUUGGCCAUUGGCUUAUUACCUAAAAUAAAAUUGCCAGCUGUUAGGUGGCAGCUUUACUGGCAGUGGCAGACUGAUAUCAGGAGAUGAGCAGGAAGGCAGCUCCUUUGGUCUCCUUUGCCUGGGUCUGUCCUGGGAGUAGAGGAGGACCAUCUCCUUGUUGCUGGAGUGGUUUCCACAGCAAAGGUCCUCCUAACUUCACUUAUACCAGGCUAGCAGUUGCUGAGCCCAUCAGAAGUGACAGAAAACACCUGAAUCUUCCUGUGAAUCUUGUUCAUGCGGGAAUAAUUUGAUCCUUCAUUAUAAGAGGUACAGUUCUGAAGGGCACUUCUGUUCCUCUCAAACACCUGUCUUUCCUGGGCAAAAUCCACAGGGGAAUACAGCCUCAGGAUGAAUUCAGAACAGCAUGCUAUUCUCAUGAUGACUGUAAUUUUCCAAUACAGUAGCUGCUGACCCAAUUAAUUUUGGGAAAGUUGUGGAUCAGUUAGAAGUGGGAGAGAAUAUGUGGAAGUGCAACCUCCUUGUCAUUUUUUCCAGGCUGUGUCCAUCUGCAAGUGACUAAAUGCCUACUUACGUAGGUAUUGAAUAAACAAGGAGGUGGAUCCAUUUUCAUUUUGCUGUGUUGUAGCUCCCAGUUCUCCUCUGAUUUCCCAGGCCAAGACAAAACCUACCCCUAAGUCAGUGGCGAGUGCCACUAGGUGUCCUCCGACUUCCUCCCAGCAGCCUGAUCUGCAGCAUAUAUACAUCAUCCCAGCCAGACCCUUCAGUCUAAUGAUGAUGAUUCACCACAGUUAAGGAUCUGGUUCAUCUUUUUUGAAUUAUUUCUUGCUUCUCACAUUUUCAGUUCAUUUUAAUUGAGUUUUCCCUGAGGUCACCAGCUCUGUGUUGGCUUCCUGCUAUUCUCAUUAACAUUGCGUUUGCCCAGGCUGAGAAAUUCAGCUCUCACACAUAUUCAGUUCAAGCUCAGUAUAGGAGUUUGCUAUUUGAGUUAAGGAACCUGCUUAAUAAAACCUCCUGUUACCUGAAUGGUAAUAGGACUCUUUCCUCCUUCUUUAUCUUCCUGUUCUCUUUUAAUUGGCAUGUCACAUGUAUUCAGCAUAGGUCACAAAUAUAAUACUUCUUGGACAGAGUUCACGUGACAGCACAGCAACUAUUGAAAUCGGUGCGCUGUUAUUUCCAGCUGGUGAACAUAUAUAUCGAGGAUGACUUUUUCUUAUCUGUCCUUGUGGAGUUUCUGACAGUGCUCAGUCUCCUUGGAGGCAGGAUACUAUUUCAAUAUGAUCCAAUUCGACAUUGCUGUGUUUCCAAGGUGCUUACAGUGCUAUGCUGGUGAUCCCAUGUGAGAACAGCAGUUUCUUAUGACCCUGUUUAACACUUUGCUGUCAUUCAUACUCAGUUAUGUCACCUCAUCAGCUUUAGACCACUGCCAUAAGGGCACUUCGUGACUGGAAGGAAAGGCUAUUCUACUGCUUCUGCCACUGAUGCAUUGAACAAAAUCCUCCACUGUUCUUUAUAUCCACAUUUCAUAAUUGAGAAGAAAAGAUGAAAUGAUUAGCCUGGCACCUGCUGAGUUGCAACAGAAGGGCAGGUGGAAUGGUUAAGUGGUGUAUCUGUAACACGUUCAGCUAGAGCAGAGAGGAGUGGUGUAAAGUAAUAGUUCUGCCAUGAGUGAAUCAUAGUUCUGUAUAGCAUUAACUCAGGGAUCUGAGCAAAGAAAAUAGAGAACAAUUAUUUCAUUGAUUUGUGUGGCCACAACAUAACUGCUUCCAGUUUGUGAUUUCCUACCCUAAUUAGUUUCAUUCAAAAUGUACCAAAACCCGAAGAUUUCAUCUUUGAGGCAGACAUAGAUAUACACUGUUUAGCCGUUCCUCCAUGGGUGUGAACUGUUCUACAUUUCAUGGAUCUGGCACUGUCUAUCUGAUCUAUAGCUGCAAGACAGCUAAAUUAAUCCAGUCUAAUCACCAUGAUAAAGCAAUAUUUUUGUAAAACUUAACUCUGAACAGUAUGAGAUGAAACAGAUGUAAAUAAACCUGCAUUUUUAUAGAUCAUAUCUGUCUUUCUAACUGAUACCAAUAAAGAAAAUCUGAUUAAGUUCUUGGUAAAGGGUCACAAUAUUUGAACAAACUCUGCUGGAAGCAUAAAGUUGUCCAUUAUUCAAUGUAUAUCCACUAUAGUGAAAUACAACCCUAGAGAAAAACAUGUAUAUGAAACAUAGAAGUAAUGUGGCAACAACAUAUGAGGUUCCUCACAGCUGAUUAAUUAAUUAAUUAAAUAUUAUCUGUUUGUCAAGA